rnacentral:tRNA from 1 species
AAAAUUCCAAUUAAGAAAUAUAAAGAUUAAAAUUAAGCUGCUAACUUAAUUUUUAGUGGUUAAAUUCCAUUAAUAUUUUU